rnacentral:rRNA from 1 species
UGCCGUCAUUCUGUUGUAUUUUUUAUGACGCCGAGUGAAGACGGGAAGACUAGGGUACCUUUUUUCCUAGGGAAUUAGGUUCCAACAAGUCCAUGAAACUCUGUCCUUAUUAGGUUUCCAGGAGUUUUUGCCUGGAGUUGCGAAUAAAGCUUAUGAGGAUUUUGCCUUUUAAGUUGGGCGUAAAAUGCCCUCUGAAAAGUAAGCUUUCUGGAAAAUUCUAAGCAACUAGAUCAGGUUUUCUACGAACUGGAAAAAUAUUCCUCUUUUUCACUUUAUGUCCUGAUUGGACUAGAGUGAAAGUGGACUUGUUUUUCUGCACCUGUUCCGUAAGGGAAAAGGUGAACUAGGCGUAGCCUUGAGGAAAACCAGGUGAGCAACUAAUUCUUUCCUAGGCUUAAGACCAGCUAAACCUCGUCAUAGUCUUGAAUUUCCUUGGAUCAGCUCGUCCUCUUUUUAGUAGAACCCACCAUUUUUUCUGGUGAGGAAAAGGUUGGGUUGAGUAUCGAGCUUGUGAGACUCUUUUAAUUUCCUUUCUUGUUAGAGGUUAGCUGAGUUGUCCAUAAAGUCUAUUUUGGGCCUACGUCCUUUUCAGUGAACUCGGCAAGAACUGGCACAACUGUUUUCUAGAAACAUAGGUGCUAGAAAGUCUUAGUGCCUUGUACUGCCAAGGGUUCCUACUGGCAGCAGUAUCUUGACUGUGCCAAAGUACCGUAAUUUCUUGUUGCUUUAUUGGCAACCAGGGAAGUAUACAUGAUGUCAUUCCUUUACUGAAAAGGCCUCGUGAAAUAAUGGCCAUGAUGAACACAGCAUGGGUAUU